GCUCGUGUCGUGAGAUGUUGGGUUAAGUCCCGCAACGAGCGCAACCCUCGUGGUCUGUUGUUACAGGUCGUAAGAUGCUGAGCCCUCAGGCCAGACUGCCGGUGACAAACCGGAGGAAGGUGGGGAUGACGUCAAAUCAUCACGCCCCUUAUGUCCAGGGCUACACACGUGUUACAAUGGGUAGAGGACAAUGGGUCGCUUGGCAGCGAUGUCUGGCAAAUCCCACAAACCUCCCCUCAGUUCGGAUCGUAGUCUGCAACUCGACUACGUGAAGUCGGAAUCGCUAGUAAACGCAGAUCAGCACGCUGCGUUGAAUACGUUCCCGGGCCUUGUACACACCGCCCGUCACACCACGAAAGAAAGGUUAUGCCCGAAGUCGGUGUCCCAACCGUAAGGAGGGAGCCGCCUAAGGCGGAACUUUUGAUUGGGGUGAAGUCGUAACAAGUAGACCGUACCGGAAGUGUGGCUGGACACCU
rnacentral:rRNA from 1 species